UCUCAUCAACACACUACUACAAACGAGAGAAACAAACCCUACCUUUCUUCUGCCCUCUCUUUUCCUUCAAACCCUACCUCCGCCGCCCCCAUUCGUCCUUCUCCUCUUGGUUGCCAAAAAUCUCGUCCUUUUUCUUUUGACAAACCCCCAUCCGCCUCGUCCCGCGAGCUCCUCAAACCAAAAGUCUGAAGAAGAUGAAAAAUCAUGUGAUGUGAAGAUGUUGUUGAUAGAGGGCUUAUUUUCCUCCUCGUGGAACUAUGGGUAACUUGUGUUUUUGAGGAUUAAUUUCUUGUACUACAUUAGUAACAGAUGAUAUGAAGUUUCCUAAUGUUGACAUUACUUCAUACCAUGCUUUUUUCGUUUCACAUUUGAUUAUAAGGCAAAUUAUCUGUUACAUGUAGAAAUUUCUAUUUGAAAUUCUCUCUUAUAUGUAGAAACUUUUGAUUCUCUGAUGGUAUUUGCAACUCCAAAGAUAUUUUCAGGCUGAUACUCUUCCUUGGAUUCAAAGGCAGAAGGAGAAAGAAUAGAUUCUUCAGCAACACAUUUUAAGAGUGAUGAGAAUAGUGGAAGCGUUGGAGGGAAAAGGAUGUCGUAUUUCCUUAACAAAAGGGGAAGCUUAACUCGCGGAGAAAUUAUCCACAAUAACUAGACAGUUGAAAGGAUUUGGAGCACAAUUAUCUCGAAGGGAUCUGUUCGGGGAAUCCCGUGUAAAGGCUAAUAGAACUGGAUUUGGUUUUACACCAGCAGAUGGAUGCCAUAGCACGACUUAGGUUCAAAUGCUAAUGCUCUUCAUCCUCACCUAUUAUCUACUAAAAUAAUUUUUUCUUAUAACAGAAAAUCUGGUGAUUAUGAACUAAAGUUCCAUUCAUUCAAAACUUGGUAAACAAUAACUGCUUUUGCUUAGUUAUACUUUAUUUGUUCUCAUGGAAUUGGAAGCACUCAUUCAUUCAUAUAUAUUAUUUGUUUAUGUACAAUGAGUAUUUGAAAUGAA